rnacentral:lncRNA from 1 species
CUUAAAAGUAUUUUUAGAAAAAAAAGCUUGUAAAUUGAAAAUUGAAAUAGAAAAUAGGAAAAAAGAAUUAUUGUACAAGAAAAAGAAAAAAAGAAAAAACACAUAGACAACAUGUCAACAUUUGUACAAAUCUAGAGACAUGAUGCCCCUUGCCACAUGUCUCAACAAAAAGCAUCACAUGACCACAAAGGCGGUGCCAAUUACCAAAGAAGAAAUCACCCAACCAAGAUA